AGCACAAACUAAAACCUCAACAAGCGGUGAUUGCAAACUUCUUGCGGCAGGGCCUCACGUUCCUUUAUAAUUUGAAGAGCUCACAGUGCUGGGCGAAUGAACAAAUCGAUGGAUAAGCACUGGGGAGAUCAAUCAUUAACCAGCUCAUUUUGGAGGAAUCUUGUCUGCUUGAAUACAUCUGAUCAGCCUGGGGAGGGUGAAGAGGAAAAAAUGUGACUCCACAUGAAAGGAACAGAGAAACAUUAACAAAGGUGGCUUGGGCAAGAGCAAAGGGGAUAGGAGUGUUGUUAUACUUACAGCUAUCCAGAUAACCACACACUGUACCAAACAUGUCAGCCACGUUCACUGGAAAUGCAAAUAUCAAAAGUUAUUACCAGUUGUUAGGAACACAGGGUUUCUUGUUUCUAUUUACUGCUUGAUACUCUGGAAAUAUAGUGAGCAGAUUACAGAACAACAUCAGCAAAAAGCAGCAAGAAUUUGAGGCUGCUUCUGUUACCAUUUUUUCAUCUGUGAGGUGGGGUAAGGAGAAAAUUGCUUUGCAAAAAAGCUACUCCUUUUUUCCACCUCUCUUGAAAUUAACUUCCCUAUUUGCCACAAGGUGCAUGUGCUUCUUUGGGAUUUAGAAGCUGUUUGUGUUGGAAGAGACAAAAAGACUGGAUCUUUUGGCAGUAAUUUUGGGAGCUCUGUUUCAAAGUGAUUAUUACUAUGGCAGACCAAACAAGAAGGUGGGUCUUCUUCCUCCAUGUUUUUGUAAUGGCUUUGAAUUACGGAGGGGCCAGGGAAGGGUCAGGAAUACUACAUCACUCCUUCAUCACUGUUUGGAAUGCACCAAGUCAAGUAUGCCAGGAGAAAUACAAUGUCUCCCUAGACCUGGAAAUAUUUGAUGCAGUCCUCAACCAGAAUGAAUCAUUCACAGGAAGGGAUAUCACCCUUUUCUACAGCAACGGGUUAGGAUAUUAUCCACACUACACUGAGGAUGGAUCUCCAGUCUAUGGGGGCCUGCCUCAAAACGCCAGCCUGAAAGCUCAUCUCCAAAAGGCUCAGCAAGAUAUCAAAGAAGUCAUCUGGGAAGUUGGCUUCAAAGGUCUGGCUGUUGUUGACUGGGAGAACUGGCGUCCGUUGUGGAUUCGGAACUGGAACUCCAAGGAUAUCUACCGAAAUAAGUCUAUAGGCCUGGUUAAGAAACAACACCCAGACUGGCCUGCUUAUAAAGUGGUCAAGACAGCCUUGCUAGAAUUUGAGCAAAGUGCUCGCAACUUCAUGGAGCAAACUUUGGCCCUUGGCAAAGCCUUGAGGCCUGAGGGUUUCUGGGGCUUCUACGGCUUCCCCAGCUGUUAUAACUAUAAUUACAAGGAUGCCAAUUACACAGGAGAAUGUCCAGAGAUAGAGAAGCAGAGGAACGAGGAACUGCAGUGGCUCUGGAACCAAAGCCGGGCUCUGUACCCCAGCAUUUAUCUCCCUGAAGAUCUCAAAUUCCUCAACAACAAAACUCUCAAGUUUGUCCGUCAUCGAGUCCAGGAGGCUUUCAGGAUUGUGAACCAAACAGGGAAUGGCAGCAUCCCAGUCUUACCUUAUGCUUCUGUUGCAUAUCAGCUUACUCAGAAAUUCCUCACUCAGGAGGACUUGGUCCACACCAUUGGUGAGAGUGCUUCUCAGGGAGCAGCUGGAGUCAUCUUGUGGGGGAGUAAAAAUUUCAGUUAUUCACAGGAAGCAUGUCUUAGUGUAAAGAAGUAUGCGGACACUCUGCUUGGGCCAUACAUUGUGAAUGUCACCAACAGCGCAAAGCUAUGUAGCCAGGUUGUGUGCUCCAAGAAUGGCCGCUGUGUGCGGCAGGACAAUCACCCAGAAGCUUUCUUGCAUCUCAGUCCCAGCAGCUUUACCAUUGCAAAGCACCCGGGGAAGCCAGGUUUCAUGCUGAAAGGUUACAUGUCUAAAGAGGACCUGGUCAAGAUGGCUGAAAAAUUCAGGUGCCGGUGCUAUAGCGGCUGGGAAGGCCUGCAGUGUGAGAAAAGGUCCCAUUAGAGUAGGUGAUAGUUGGCUUAGACUUGAGACUGUUUUGGUCCCAGGGGCCUGGUUGCAAAAGAAACCAUGUGUAGAGAUUUUCUUCCCCUUUGCUAGGCCUUUUAGAGCAAGGAUGGGCAACUACAGCAGGACUGGAGGGGGGUCAAUUUUCUGCCCUUGGACAUUCUGGGGCUGCAUAAACUGUUGUCAUCAUCUUCAUCCAUCAUGAUUGGAGACAAUUAGAUUAUGCAUUGUAAACUGCUUAGGGAGUACUUAAGUGCACUGAUAAGCGGUAUAGAAAUGUACAGUACUUGCUAUUGCUUGCUAUUGCAUAUAUAUACCUAUGUUUGCACACACAUUCUCUUUCUGCAAGAAAAGGUUACCGUAGUUUUAAAUGUGUGUGUGUGUGACUGAGUACAUAAAUUGGUAAGUGCAUACAUUCUUGGCUGUCAUUGCAAUGUGUUUAUCGCUCGGGGGGGGGGGGGAGGCUGGUGACUUUUAGAUGUAGAGUUUGUGCUUCAAGUGGGAAUCAUGUAUUCGUUUUCAGAUUAGAAUGACCGUUAGAUGUCUUGGACUGAAUGUAUGUGCCAAAGGUAACUUUUCUGUUUGUUGAAAACAACAACAACAAAGUUUAUACCCCUAUACAUCACUACAGCUGACUCUGGGCGGACCAAAAGGUGGCAGUGUUGUGUCAUAUUGUGAGACUGAUCAGGUGCAGCAGUAUAAAAAUCUCUGCUUGAGCAUUUUUUGAUAGCAAGUCUUACACCAUUACUAGUUGUUCUAGAUCUGUCCAUGUCAGAAAUGCACAUAGGUGCAGGUCUGCCUUUUAUUAAAGUUAGUGUAAGCCAAAGAUGACUAUCCAACAGUAUCUAUUAGCAGCUACUGCAUAUAGACUCUCCUGCAAACAGAUCCAUGUGUUUCCUCCUAUUAUUUCCAUCCUUCCCAAGACACUGAAGAAGCCACUUCUUCAGCUGUAUAUGUAACUGACAUAGGAACAAAUAGUGUUCCUUGUGAGGCUGUUGAAAAGUACUUAUGUGCACAGAUACUGCAGUAGCUGCUAUGAAAGCUAUCCAAGGCUUUGUGCCACUGGCGGUGCCUACAGAAACCAAGGCGAAAGCCUUCCUACCCCCAGUGAUGAUCGUGAAGAGACAGCUGCUUCCUGCAGUAGCAACUGUGUGAGACUAAAGCCUCCCUUCAUCCCAGUGAUCCUGAUCCAGUUUCCUGUCUGUGUCUAUUAACUGUUUUCAAGUCAGCCUUGACUUAUGGUAAAUGAGUUGAUUUUCUUCCUAUCAGAUUUCUUCAAUGUACAGCUUUUACAACCAUACAUAAAAAUGGGAAAAAUGAUGGUGUGGAGAAUCCUAAUUUUAGUUUUCAUUAAUAUAUCAGUAAAUAUCACAAACUUGUGCAGCACUUUUAUAACUGCCCUUCCAAUCCCUAGUUGUCCUCAGAUUUCUUGACUGUAAUCUUCAUUGUGAUAAAUGACUGAUCCAAGGUAUGGAAAAUCUUGUAACUGUUUCAAUUUCUUCAUCUACGGUAAACGUAUGGUCAUUAUUUUUGUUUUCUUAUGUUCAGCAUUAAACCUGCUCCUAGCUGCUACUGUACGGUGGAAAUGAAUAGGUCACAUUUGGUGUACCCUGGAAGUGGGCAGACUUUGAAGUUGCAGGAUAAGGAUUUGUUUUCCUUCUAUGUUAGCCUCAAAGGGGCUGCAAGGUCC